AAGAAGGAAGAUCCUCUCAUGGAUCAGUAACGUGUUUAAACAUAGGAGACAAAGGGUAAGAAUAAAUGGUGAGUUUUCAGAAUAGAGAGAGGUAAAUAGUGGUGGUCCCCCAGGGAUUUGUCCUGGGACAGUACUGUUCAACAUGUUCCUAAAUGAUAUGGAGAUAGGGAAUUACUCAAGAUAUUUAAACCCUAAGCUGACUG